UUGAACGCUGGCGGCAUGCCUAACACAUGCAAGUCGAACGGGUUGUAGCAAUACAACUAGUGGCGGACGGGUGAGGAAUACAUAGGAAUUUGCCUUUAGGUGGGGGAUAGUCCGGGGAAACUCGGUUUAAUACCGCAUGAUGUCGAAAGACCAAAGCAGGGGAUCGUAAGACCUUGCGCCUUUAGAGAAGCCUAUGUCGGAUUAGCUAGUUGGUAGGGUAAUGGCCUACCAAGGCGACGAUCCGUAACUGGUCUGAGAGGACGAUCAGUCACACCGGAACUGAGACACGGUCCGGACUCCUACGGGAGGCAGCAGUGGGGAAUAUUGGACAAUGGGCGAAAGCCUGAUCCAGCAAUGCCGCGUGUGUGAAGAAGGCCUUCGGGUUGUAAAGCACUUUAGGCUGGGAAGAAAAAGCUUCACCUAAUACGUGAAGCCUUGACGGUACCAGCGGAAUAAGCACCGGCUAACUCUGU
rnacentral:rRNA from 1 species